rnacentral:rRNA from 1 species
AUACGGAGGAUCCGAGCGUUAUCCGGAUUUAUUGGGUUUAAAGGGAGCGUAGGUGGAUUGUUAAGUCAGUUGUGAAAGUUUGCGGCUCAACCGUAAAAUUGCAGUUGAAACUGUGAGUCUUGAGUACAGUAGAGGUGGGCGGAAUUCGUGGGGUAGCGGUGAAAUGCUUAGAUAUCACGAAGAACUCCGAUUGCGAAGGCAGCUCACUAGACUGUUACUGACACUGAUGCUCGAAAGUGUGGGUAUCAAACAGGAUUAGAUACCCUGGUAGUCCACACAGUAAACGAUGAAUACUCGCUGUUUGCGAUAUACAGUAAGCGGCCAAGCGAAAGCAUUAAGUAUUCCACCUGGGGAGUACGCCGGCAACGGUGAAACUCAAAGGAAUUGACGGGG